AUUAUUUAUCAAGCUGUGCAUACCCUCUCAGACAACAAAGUAUUUUCUUUCAUUUUUUGCUACUUCUUCCUUGUGUAGUUAUCUCCUAAAUGCCUCUCCCAUCAUGGGUCACUCCAGUGCAAAAGGAUUGCAUCUGACCACUUUCAUCAAGAAAGUGAAUCACCCUGAAGCAGCAGCCCAGAUGCCCAGCCAACAUGCCAACACCAAGAUCAAUGGAAAUACGCUGCAGAGAGCUGGGUGGCCACAAUUCCCGUGUACGCGUCAGGGGUGGAAGCAGACAUCAUUUGUUGGCAAAGAUCAGUGCAAGGCCAUGGAGAUGGUGAGUGGGUCUGGUGCACCUCAUGGAGAGAGGAGAGGUGGAAGGAAUCAGGCUUUGCUAGCAUGGAGAAGGGAUGUCUCAGGGAAGCCCUAACUGCAGAUGUCCACUGACUUACAGAUGGUUACCAACCUUCUCUCAGAUGUUCACAGGGAUGUCUUGUUUUAAAAAGUCUUUUUUGACCCUUGUCAUAAGGGACAAAAGGGACACAUUGCAGCAUGGGAAAUUCUGUUUGGACAUAAGGAAUCAAACAACAGUGAUGCAGCCCUGGGACAGGGCUGAAAGAGGUGGUGGGAUGUCCUCUGCUGGAAAUAUUCAAAAUGUAUCUGGUCAAGGCGCUGACUGUUUUGAAGGCAGUUGAGCUUGGAAAGGGAGAUGGGAGCAGAGACCUUCCAAUGUGCCUCACCACCUGAAUAUUUCCA
rnacentral:lncRNA from 12 species